AUUAACACCAAGAUUAACACUUGACCAACAACCAAGCUGUAAAGAAUAUGCCAAUCAAGAAACUACCAACUUAGGCAACAAACAAGCAGUAAACCAUAGCCUAAUCACCAAGAUCAUUCCCACCAACACCGAUAGGGUAAUCCACUUUUAUGUAAACAGAGAGCAACCCCACACCCUUCCAGCACUAAUGAUAUUACCUAGUCAGGUAAUGAAAUGUCUGCAAGAGAACAACCAAGCUCAGAGAGCAUCAAGGUCUCCACAGACACUGGGAAAAUUGAUGCACGUCUUGACAAAUGUUG
rnacentral:lncRNA from 1 species